CCUACGGGAGGCAGCAGUGAGGAAUAUUGGUCAAUGGGCGAGAGCCUGAACCAGCCAAGUCGCGUGAGGGAUUACUGCCCUCUGGGUUGUAAACCUCUUUUGUCGGGGAGCAAAAUCCCGACGUGUCCGGCUGUUAGAUUACCCGAAGAACAAGCAUCGGCUAACUCCGUGCCAGCAGCCGCGGUAAUACGGAGGAGGCGAGCGUUAGCCGGAUUUAUUGGUUUAAAAGGUUGCGCAGGCGGAUUUUUAAGUCAGCGGUAAAAUCGUGGGCCUCACCCCCAUCCAGCCGUUGAAACUGGGGAUCUAGAGUGUGCGAGAGGUAUGCGGAAUGCGAGGUGUAGCGGUGAAAUGCAUAGAUAUCACGCAGAACACCGAUUGCGAAGGCAGCAUACCGGUGCACAACUGACGCUCAGGCACGAAAGCGUGGGUAUCGAACAGGAUUAGAUACCCCGGUAGUC
rnacentral:rRNA from 1 species